GUUCCAGUGAGGACUACUCCAAAAGAAUCCACAGUGGGGAUUAUUCUGUCCCUUUGCAAGGAACCUCCAUGGAAUCUUCCAGGCAUCCCAUCUCUCCUCCAUCAGGGGAAGGUCUUCAUCCAAAUACAUCCUCCCUCAAUCUGAAGGAUUGGAAGGGAAAGGCUCAAAGACAAGGCAUUCUCUAAUGCUGUCAUCGGAAUGCUAAUUAAAACAAGGAAAGGCUCAACAUCCUCUACCUAUUACAGGGUAUGGAAGAGCCCUAAUGGCGAAACGCGCAUUGGGACGUUAUUUUGUAUGGUGUUGGUACAGAUGAUAAGGGUAGACAUGCCUUGACACCAUUAGAUUAUACCACCCAUACAAGAUUUAUUUUAUCUCUUUUUACUAUUUCUUUAUUAUUUUUGUUUUUCGUUCUGUAGUUUGGUUUGACAAACUGCAUUUACUUUACUAAGAGGAGGGGAAGGGGUUACUAGCAUUUUUUAAGGGGUGCCCUCGAAGGCACAGCAGAGUAGGGGAGCUAGUCUUUCUAUUAUUAGCUUUUUCUCCUUAGAAACUAUUUAGCUCUUUUGCAGGACUUUAGUUUUGCUACAAUACAUUCUAUCAGUAACCAUCUUCCCCCUUCUGGUUUAUUAGACAAGCAGCAUAUGUAACUUGCAGCCUGUAGUUACAUUUGUUGCAAACCUUGUAUCUACUCCUUGCAGUAUUCGAUUUAAGCUUCUACCACUGAUUCACAG